rnacentral:rRNA from 1 species
UACAGAGGUCUCAAGCGUUGUUCGGAUUCAUUGGGCGUAAAGGGUGCGUAGGUGGCGCUGUAAGUCGGGUGUGAAAUUUUCGGAGCUUAACUCCGAAACUGCAUUCGAUACUGCGGUGCUUGAGGACUGGAGAGGAGACUGGAAUUCAUGGUGUAGCAGUGAAAUGCGUAGAGAUCAUGAGGAAGACCAGUGGCGAAGGCGGGGUCUCUGGACAGUUCCUGACACUGAGGCACGAAGGCCAGGGGAGCAAACGGG